GAUUCCUUGUCAGGCUGUGGCAUCCGUCGUGUGUUUACAUUACCGCCCAGAGACAGUACACUGCAGUACCAAAAAUUCGUACACCUCUGAAAUAACUUUCCUUGCAUUAGUACCUAAUCUGAUGCUCGGAACCCGUCAUGAUGAACCAAAAAGAUUUCCAAUAAAAAGUUGGAGUCUGAUUUAGAUUCAAGUUGAUGUUGAACAAAACAACAGUCCUAAGAGUCCCAGUCCUCCUGGAUCAAUAUCUAUUCCAGUUCCUAAGAACCCUAUCACCUUCUCCAUGCAGAACAGUUUGUGCAUUCAAGAGAUAACCAAAUCGGAUUCCAUAUCUCUUCACAACUUCAACAUGUCAAAUAAAAGUGGUGGCACACAAAAUACGGUGAUGCUUGUUGCAGAGAUUGAAAAGGAUAAUAACCAG